UACGUAGGGCGCGAGCGUUUGUCCGGAUUUAUUGGGCGUAAAGAGCUCGUAGGCGGCUUGUCGCGUCGGCUGUGAAAUCCCGUGGCUCAACUGUGGGCGGGCAGCUGAUACGGGCAGGCUGGAGUUCGGUAGGGGAGACUGGAAUUCCUGGUGUAGCGGUGAAAUGCGCAGAUAUCAGGAAGAACACCCGUGGGCGAAGGCGGUUCUCUGGGACGGUACUGACGCUGGAGACGCGAAAGCGUGGGGAGCGAACAGG
rnacentral:rRNA from 1 species